UAUUAUAUAGAGAGAGACAGUAGUUACACAUGCCUAGCUAGAGAGUGAAAAGACUGAGCGAAUAGUCUUAUUAUUAAUGUAUUAUUAUUCUUUGCUAAUAGUACCAGAAGUGCGACUAUUAUCGACGUAUGACCGAUAGAAGAUAUCAUCAGUGUAAAAUCUUAUUGAUUCAUCCAUCAAAUAUUCUACAAGUUAUACUUUUACUUAUUGUGAGUUGGUGAAAGGAUGUUGGAGGAGCCCUAUUAUUACUAUUACUUAGUAACGUCAUCGAGCAAUGAUCUUUAAAUAAAAGAAGAAAAAAGAAAUUAACCUGAUGUUUGAAAAAAUGUACAUAGUUAAAACUGUUGUUAUGUUGACCCUUUGCAUAUUUUUUUAACUCUUGAUAAUUUUUAGGGGCAUUUUUAUUAUAUUCUGGGCGAGCGUAACUCGUUGCCGUUGGGUAGUAGAGUAGAGUAGUAACUAGUAGUAUUCGUCCGUAUAGAAGAAGGAGAGAAUUGAGAAACAUACUUACUUCAAAAAGGAAUGAUUAGAGUAAAAAUUCCUCUUCCCCAGGUAGUUGAAUAAUAGAGUAUAGACGUGAAGAAGAAUACACAGAACUUGAACUUCUCAUGUAUUUUCCAACACAUACCACCAUCACUACCACCACUACAUAACAACAUCAUAACCCAACACAAAGAAAAAUAAUGAAAUGGUAAAGAUGGAUCGGUAUCGAUACUCCGAGGAAAUUCGCCGUGGAGCCGCUAAAUUCAUAAGGACUCAUAACUUGGACGGGGAUUUAAACGAAUCUCUAUCCAAUUUAUCCAUUCAUGAUCUCGCAACCACUCCUGCUUCACGCAUACAAACACCUCAAAAGAGCUUAAAUGUCUUAAAUCAUCAUCGCCUAAUAACGGAGUUUGCCUUGGGUGGAAGUAACUCUGAAUUAAACAAGAGCAAUCAAGAGUAUUCCCCAGGCUCAUAUCCACAAAGACUUCCUAUUUCACCUGCUAAUCCUCAUGCCAUAUACGAAAAUAUCGAUUCAUAUCAAAGGCGUCCGCCUCCACCUCCAUCCUCGGCUCACAAUACGUCUCGUAUUCUUUCUGGCGUCUUUCAAAAAUCGAAUUCAUCCUCUCCUGUCACAACUCAAAAUACUGUGCUUGGAAGAAUAACUCCCGCAGAAUCCGUCUCGUCAAUGCCUAGUUACACUAAUGGUUCUCAACAAUUUAUUUUACGAAAUGGAAGUGGAAGUUCCUCAUCGUCAUCCUCCUCUCCCGUCUCUACUCUCAAUCUUCGUUCACCCCCUACUCUUCCACCUAAAUCAUCAAUGGCCAUUCAUCGUUGUCGUACAUCUCCUCCCUACAUAGCCCCACCAGUCUAUGAAAAUGUUAAUGACGUCGAGCUUAUGACACGAUUACGUGGAAAUUAUAGAGACUAUGCUAAUCUACCACCCCCACCUCCCUAUCCAGGCACCCUAAACAUUGACGGACACGAACAUUAUUAUCCUCAAUCCUCAUUUGUUCCUCACACUCUUAGUCUUAAAAAGGCCUAUAAUCAACCUUCAUUAUCACCACUCGUGAACACAGUUGGUUUAAGCUCUUCUUCUACGUCCAGUCUACCUGUUGCUGCAAUGUUUAACAAUGUAGAAAAAUCUCCAUCCAAAGGUUGGUAUGAAUCUGAUUUGGAUGAAUAUCAUCCUAGGACUUCAAGGUUUACUAGCCAAUCCUCGCUAAACAGAGACAUAUCCUCCUCAUCAGCCUAUCAUAGCGAAAGUUCCCUGAGUCAGCAAAAUCCCCAAUAUCCUUCUCAUAUUCAUCAGUCACCAGCAAAAUCUGUUAACAGUAAAAUUGCUCUCUUACCAUAUAGUAUAACACCCCCUCGACCCAAGGGACCAAGCGAAGCGGAAAAGAAAAUUGAUGAACUGACAAAGCAAUUGGAAGAAGAAAUGGAUAAAGAGGAAGAAUUAGAAUAUUUUGGAGAGUGUGCUCUUUGUCGGGAAAAAGUAACUGGAGCUGGACAAGCUUGUCAAGCCAUGAAUAAUCUUUACCAUACUAAUUGCUUCGUAUGUUGUUCUUGUGGUAGGACCCUAAGGGGAAAAGCUUUUUAUAACGUUAAUGGGAAGAUUUAUUGUGAGGAGGAUUAUAUGUAUUCGGGCUUUCAACAAACCUCAGAAAAAUGUGGAAUUUGUGGGCAUUUGAUUAUGGAAAUGAUUCUACAUGCAAUGGGGAAAACUUAUCAUCCGGGUUGCUUUCGGUGUUGUGUUUGCAAUGAAUGUCUUGAUGGAGUUCCAUUUACAGUUGACUUUGAUAAUAAAAUUUACUGUAUUAAUGACUUUCAUAGGUAAUCAAUCAUUGCUCUAGUGAGGAGCAGUUAAUUUUUUCUUUAGAAAUCUUGGAAUUUCACAAAAGAUAUAUGCUCCUAAAUGUGCUGCGUGUGGAGAAGGGAUUACACCAGUGAAGGGAACGGAAGAAACUGUGCGUGUCGUCGCGAUGGGAAAGGAUUUCCACGUAGACUGCUAUAUUUGUGAG
rnacentral:misc_RNA from 1 species